GCCCGGCUAGCUCAAUUGGUUAGAGCAUUCGACUCUUAAUCGAAAGGUUCUGGGUAUGUUGACACUCACAAAACUCACAGCAGAUCUCAGCUAACGAUUCAACAGGUUCGAGUCCCAGGUCGGGCU
rnacentral:tRNA from 1 species